AGGGGGAACCUGAUCCAGCGAUGCCGCGUGUGUGAAGAAGGCCUUCGGGUUGUAAAGCACUUUUGUUCGGGAAGAAAUCUGUCGGGCUAAUACCCUNGGCGGGAUGACGGUACCGGAAGAAUAAGCACCGGCUAACUACGUGCCAGCAGCCGCGGUAAUACGUAGGGUGCGAGCGUUAAUCGGAAUUACUGGGCGUAAAGCGUGCGCAGGCGGUUUCAUAAGACAGAUGUGAAAUCCCCGGGCUUAACCUGGGAAUUGCAUUUGUGACUGUGAGACUAGAGUGUGUCAGAGGGAGGUGGAAUUCCGCGUGUAGCAGUGAAAUGCGUAGAGAUGCGGAGGAACACCGAUGGCGAAGGCAGCCUCCUGGGAUAACACUGACGCUCAUGCACGAAAGCGUGGGGAGCAAACAGGAUUAGAUACCCUGGUAGUCCACGCCCUAAACGAUGUCUACUGGUUGUCGGGGAUUCAUUUCCUUGGUAACGCAGCUAACGCGUGAAGUAGACCGCCUGGGGAGUACGGCCGCAAGGUUAAAACUCAAACGAAUUGACGGGGACCCGCACAAGCGGUGGAUGAUGUGGAUUAAUUCGAUGCAACGCGAAAAACCUUACCUACGCUUGACAUGCCAGGAACUUUCCAGAGAUGGAUG
rnacentral:rRNA from 1 species